rnacentral:rRNA from 2 species
CAUCGAUGAAGAACGUAGCGAAAUGCGAUACUUGGUGUGAAUUGCAGAAUCCCGUGAACCAUCGAGUCUUUGAACGCAAGUUGCGCCCGAGGCUAUCUGGCCGAGGGCACGCCUGCCUGGGCGUCAUGCCU